UAUUAAAAUUUUUAUUUGUUUAGAAUUUUUAAAAGGAAUUAUUUGUUUAAGUAUUUAUAAUGAAAUAAUAGUUUUAAUUAUAGAUUAAUAGUACAGUGAAGGAAAAUGCAGAAUUAUGGAAAGAAUUUUUUAUUUAGGGUACCUUUUGUAUCAGGGUUUAUUAAAAGGAGUUUGAAUUUUAAAUUUUCUCGAAUUUAUAAGAGCUAAGAAUAUAUAAAUUUUAAUGUAGAAGAAUUAUUUAUAAUAUAUUUUUUGAUAUUAUACGUUAGUCGGGUAUAAAUAUAUCUAGUUUUUUAAGAAAUUAAUUUAAUUAAGCUAAUUGAGGGGGUGAUUUAUUUUGUAAAUAUACCUAAUAAUUAAGUAAUAUUUAAGGGGAUAAGCUUUUAAGUAGAAGUUUAAAAGAAGUUUACAUUUUAAAGUUGAAUAGGAAUAGAAGUUUUCAUUUUUUGUAGUGUUUUAUAUCAAGACUUUAAUUUAAGUGAUUUGUUUUUUUUUAGUUUGUUUAUUAAAAUAUUAAAAUUAAUUUGAUAGUUUUAGGUAAUAAUGAUAAAAUUAGUAUAGAAAUUUGUUUAAGUGUUUAUGAAUAUAAAUUUUAAUUAAGGAAUUCGGCAAAUAUAUUUUCUGCCUGUUUAUUAAAAACAUGGCUUUUUGGGAAUAAUUUAAGGUCAGGCCUGCCCCAUGAUUAAUUAAAUGGCCGCGGUACUCUGACCGUGCAAAGGUAGCAUAAUCAUUAGUUUUUUAAUUGAAAGCUGGAAUGAACGGUCUUACAAGAAAAUUACUGUCUCAAUUAAAUGAUUUUAGAAUUUUAUUUUUUAGUUAGAAAGCUAAAAUGUUUUUAGGGGACGAGAAGACCCUAUAGAAUUUAAUAAGGUUUUUUUAGAUUGUGUUUUUGGUUUAAUUAUUUUGGUUUAGUGAAACUUAUUUUGUUGGGGUGAUUGAAAAAUUUAGUAAACUUUUUUUUUAUAAGAUUACUAAUAUGUAUAUUUAUGAUCCGUUUUUUACGAUUAAAAGAAUAAAUUACCUUAGGGAUAACAGCGUAAUUAGUUUGGAGAGUUCUUAUCGAUAAACUAGUUUGCGACCUCGAUGUUGGAUUAAAAUUAACUUUUGGUGUAGGGGCUAAUAGGUUGAGUCUGUUCGACUUUUAAAAUUUUACAUGAUCUGAGUUUAAACCGGCGUGAGCCAGGUUGGUUUCUAUCUCUUGAUAGUUUUAAUAUUUUAGUACGAAAGGACCAAGUAUUAAUUUUAUGAAUUUGUUUAUGAAUAUUAUU
rnacentral:rRNA from 1 species